AUGGUUUAUUUGCAUGUGGUUUUGUAUCAAAAUCAUCACAGCAGACUGUCAUGCUUUCAGAGGCCUACCAUUACUUCCUGCAUGAAUCAUUUAUGUAGGAGUGGUUCUAGGAUAUAGGCUAUAGUUUUCUAACUAUCAGCAUUUUUGAAUUUGUUCAAACUGAUUACUUUAUUUUUGGGCUUGCAUCCAGCUGGCCUGCUGAAGACAUAAUUUACUUAGCCUCCAAGUUUGGAAGGUUAUUUUCAAAAAGUCACAGUUUGCUGACUAAAAUAUCUUAAUGGAUAAAUGUCUGACGUGUGGAAAAGCUGAAUUACUUUCCUUCUCACUUUAACAACUUUUCCUUUACUAGUAGGCUAUGUUAAAAAAAUUUGGCAACAUAUUUCUGUUUUCAUUGUCUUUGCUUCUUUAUAGAGUAUAAAGAUGAAGUCUAUCCAGUCGAUAUGAUAACAGCAUGAAACGUGUUGGACUAGAUUUCUUUUUUGACAAACCUGGGAGCAAGUCAUUGCAAUCGUAUGAAACUUCAGCAGCUGAGCAGUUGAAGUAAGAGUAUGAGGAUAGCGGGUGUUGUAUGCUGUACGGACUGUCAAGGCCACUGAAGCAUAUUUAUGAUAUUGAACACCUUUCAUCUUAACUUGUUUAAAACCUCAAAUGUUUGGGAAACAAAGGAGACAUCAGUGUGUUGUGUGGAUUCAGGACUGUGUUUGCCUUCAGGUCCUAAGGAUGAGCUCCAGUCUUCUCUUCAUUCUCGCAAGGAACAGAAACGGAGGUUGGAUUUGGUCGAUUCCAGAUUGUGCUAUCAGAGAAACUGACAGUGGUUUUAAGAUGAAAUUCUUCUCUGUACAGUCAUGGGCAACGUGAAGGCCUACAUUGCGUAAUGUUCCUGUGUGAGCAUGUGUCUCGUAAUCCUAAUUUGGAGAGAGUUAGUUGACUGGUGACGUAUCAACGUGUGGCUUGUGUUUACUGUAUAUAUUCACAAAUUCACAUGUAAUAUUUUGCAUGUUUUUCCAGGCUUCAAAUUGGAACAUCUUGCGCUUGUGUGACCUUCUGCCCUUUUUCAGACACAGCAACGACAAAGUAAGGUACAUGACCUUCCUGAAAGAGACUCUGCCUCCAAACAUUCUUUCUAAACUUUAUAAAGCAGUUGAGUAGAAUGUGAGCUAUUCAUGGAAAAAUAUACAGAGGAAACGGUAUGAACUGUCCUAGUCAUAGAGUUAUUAAGAGUAAAUUUUUAGUUUUUUAACUGCAAAAGUGGGAUUUCUGAGGAAUGCCUCACAGAAAGCAAAGCCAGCUGCUAAGAAGUCAACUGAGGGUAUGAUUAUGUAUUUCCAUAAUUUAUUGGAUUGGUCUCUUGAUGCAUUUGUAGAAUAGAAUAAAAAUAAAAUCAUAUUUGGUCUCACCAGAUGUAUAAAAACAUCACAAGCCUAUAUAAACAUAAAAACAUCAUUAUAACAUCAAUGCACACUCGCACGCACUCCUCACAUCACAUUACUACAGUUAAUACCACAUACACAGUGUACAAUAUACUUUCUGUACAGAACAUUUGUGCAGUUUGUUAAGUUUAGUGCACUAUGUAUAAAAGAUCACUUAUAGAUCUUUUUGUUUGCCAGAGGUACUCUGUAUUGUCGCUGCUUAAACUAAGUAUGGAGGGGGUGUUUUGUGUCACCAAUGAUGGACCAAGCUUUCCUAUGUAGAGCUGUACUGUAAAUGUCAUCUAGUGACUUUGUUGCUGGCCAAUUAUCUUUCCUGCUGUUUUGACAAUCCUGGCCAGCUUGUUUUUUUUAUAAGUGUUAGAUAUCCAAACCAGACAAAUAUAUUUGACACUGGAAUACUCUCUAUCUGUAUUGACUAUAUGCCUUGCAAUCCUGGGAUAACAAUUGUCAGAUUAAUAAACUUGUAAACAUUGUUUGAGAGUCUUUCUUGCAGUGUGAGUUUAACAUAGUAUUUCAGUUCAUGUCUCAUGAAGAUGCACUUAGCAGAAGAUCUGCAAACAAGUAAAUCAGUCAUCUGUCACAAUAACCAAUCCUCUGACAAUGGAUCAAAUGUUUCCUCCAGCUCAUGGCCUUAGCACAGUGCAUGCCCCGCCAAUACUGUUGGACAAAUCUGCUGUUCCCCAGGGACAAAUGCUACCAGUGUACCAGGAUCAAUUUCUCCCUGCCUCAUUUCAGUCUGUGGAAAAUAACUAUGUGAACCGGACCUCUGAAUCUCACUUCAUGUGCUUUCACAUCAGCAGUGAUCAGCUGCACUUCUUUACCACAGAUGGGACCUCACCCAUCGUUAGGCCAUGUCUUAUGGGAUGUCACCCUUGGCCUGGUGGAUCCCGUUGCUCUCCCAUCAGUGAGUUUUGGUCAAGCCUACAUCCCACCUGAACAGACUACGGUAACAAACUUUAUCAUACCCCCAGUAGAAGAAUGUCAGGUCAGGAGGGGACACCUCAGGUUGGCCCAGCCGAUAUUUUACAAACCAACCACUCGUGUCAUUGUCUUUGUUUGAAAGAGAAACUUCAAGUUCUGAUGAGAAUGGAAAUCAGCCAGUGUCAGAUGCUCUGUGAUAUUUAAGACUCCUUCAGGAGAGUGACCUUUGUAGUAGCAGUCCUUUCCUUGUUUGUGAAAAUGUACCUAGCAAUAAACUUCAUUCUGAUUCUGA